CUUGGUCAUUUAGAGGAAGUCAAUGUCGUAUCAAGGUUUCAGUAGGUGAUCGUGCGGAAGGAUCAUUACAGAGUUCAUGGCCUCUCGGGUAGCCCUCCCACCCUUGUGUAUGUAUACCAUGUUGCUUUGGCAGGCUAGCGGGACCCCUCGGGGGACAGCCUCGGCUCCCUGGGGCCCGAGAGUCGCCUGCCGGAGGAAAAACAAGCUGUGAAUUGUUAGUGUCGUCUGAGUGUUAUAUUUUAAUAGUUAAAACUUUCAACAACGGAUCUCUUGGUUUUGGCAUUGAUGAAGAACGCAGCGAAAUACGAUAAGUAAUGUGAAUUGCAGAAUUCAGGGAAUCAUCGAAUCUUUGAAUGCACAUUGCGCCCCUUGGUAUUCCGGGGGGCAAGCCUGUUCGAGCGUCAUUUCAACCCUCAAGCUCAGCUUGGUAUUGGGCGUCCGCCGGUCGCCCGGCGGGCCUUAAAGUCAGUGGCGGCGCCGUUGGGUCCUGAACGUAGUAACAUACACCUCGUUACAGGGUCCCCGCGUGCUUCUCCCAUUAAACCCCCAACUUUCUAUGGUUGACCUCGGAUCAGGUAGGGAUACCCGCUGAACUUAAGCAUAUCAAUAAGCGGAGGA
rnacentral:rRNA from 1 species